rnacentral:rRNA from 1 species
UGGAUCCAGACUUUGAUUCUGGCUCAGGAUGAACGCUAGCUACAGGCUUAACACAUGCAAGUCGAGGGGAAACGACAUCGAAAGCUUGCUUUUGAUGGGCGUCGACCGGCGCACGGGUGAGUAACGCGUAUCCAACCUGCCCAUCACUUGGGGAUAACCUUGCGAAAGUAAGACUAAUACCCAAUGAUAUCUCUAGAAGACAUCUGAAAGAGAUUAAAGAUUUAUCGGUGAUGGAUGGGGAUGCGUCUGAUUAGCUUGUUGGCGGGGUAACGGCCCACCAAGGCGACGAUCAGUAGGGGCUCUGAGAGGAAGGUCCCCCACAUUGGAACUGAGACACGGUCCAAACUCCUACGGGAGGCAGCAGUGAGGAAUAUUGGUCAAUGGACGAGAGUCUGAACCAGCCAAGUAGCGUGCAGGAUGACGGCCCUAUGGGUUGUAAACUGCUUUUAUAAGGGAAUAAAGCGAGAGUCGUGACUCUUUUUGCAUGUACCUUAUGAAUAAGGACCGGCUAAUUCCGUGCCAGCAGCCGCGGUAAUACGGAAGGUCCGGGCGUUAUCCGGAUUUAUUGGGUUUAAAGGGAGCGUAGGCCGGAGAUUAAGCGUGUUGUGAAAUGUAGACGCUCAACGUCUGCACUGCAGCGCGAACUGGUUUCCUUGAGUACGCACAAAGUGGGCGGAAUUCGUGGUGUAGCGGUGAAAUGCUUAGAUAUCACGAAGAACUCCGAUUGCGAAGGCAGCUCACUGGAGCGCAACUGACGCUGAAGCUCGAAAGUGCGGGUAUCGAACAGGAUUAGAUACCCUGGUAGUCCGCACGGUAAACGAUGGAUGCCCGCUGUUGGUCUGAAUAGGUCAGCGGCCAAGCGAAAGCAUUAAGCAUCCCACCUGGGGAGUACGCCGGCAACGGUGCAACUCAAAUGAAUUGACGGA